rnacentral:tmRNA from 1 species
GGGGGUGUCUUUGGAUUUGAUAGAAGGAACUCAUACCUCUUGACAGCCACUGCUGAAUGGUUCUACAGCUUAAUCACGGACCAAAAGAAAAUGCAGGAAAUGCAACUCUUGCUGGAGCCGUUAAAAGAUUUAACGCAGCUUACGCUCUUGCGUAGUUACCAGCUUCAACCUCUACGUUUGACUCCUCCUAUGCGUAAAGGCGAACCAAGGAGGAAUUAAUAGUUGUUGUAGUGAAUAGAAGCAAUGAGUUUGCUCCUUCAUCUCGCUUCUCCCUACUCUAAUAACUCUAAAAAUCUGGUUGAAAAAGUCGCUAUAGUGGUAGAGGUCAAAAGAUAUGCCUUUUAGACUAGGGUUCGACACCCUACACCUCCAAAA